GGAAACGCUGCCGGCUGACAUCGAGGGAAACACGACCCCCCCAGCCCCUCGACUUAGAAGUUCCCGGACCUUCUUGCCAGGCGGAAGUGCGUGGAUCAACAACGUCACCGGAAUCACGAUGCAAAUCUCUCAGCUGCUGCCUCAAGGACCAUGCCUGUCAGCUUCUCACCGUGAUGACAAUGGACUAAGCCUCUAAAACUAUAAGAAAGCCCUUAAUUAAAUGCUUAAAAAAAUCGA